AAAAAAACAGAAGAGAAAAACAUUUCAUGUGUUCCAAGAUUUAGCAAUAAACUCAGACUUUUAAUCUCUCUGGUGUCCCUCUUCAUAUCCCACCCCUCCAACAGCACCACCCAUUUACAUCCACUGACCGACUUAUCAACUAAAGCUGCAAGCUUGUCCACGAACACAACCUUUCUAAAUCAGAGCACGUGUGAUUCCUAAAGAUGACUCAAAACUCUCGGAGGAGCUUGCAUGGGGUUUCCAGGUAGCCAUCUUUCAGCACCUGAUGAAAGAAAACCACAGAAAACUAAAGUUCUGCAUUGAUUUGAACAAGCAGAUAAAGAAAAAAAAAAUCCCAUCAAACUGAGUGCUUGGACUCAUUUGUUUACAGAGAGGAAAAUAUGGCAAGCAGUGGCUCCACCUGAGCUCAUGGGCAACUGUAAAAAGAUUUCUUGAAAAGGAAGUUAGUGAAGCUUAUAAAAAGCUGUUUAUCAGGUGAUUCUGAACUUCUAAACAGAAGAAUGUCCCUACUAGAAACAGCCAACACCAGCAACAGCACAGAGACCUGCACUGUCAUCAUACGUGCCACGUGUUACAAAAUUAAUUACCCUCUAACACCCUCCCUAUUACAUUGUGUGUGGGUAAAACAGGAACAACAUUCUUGGCCUUAAAAUCACAUUCAUUAAGGAUUAGAUUUAGCAAAGACCUAAAGAAAGAAGGGAAAAAUAAACCUCAAUAAUUGAUAGAAACCACACUAAGGGAAGCAGCUACUUUGAAUAGCAAGGAGAGGCAAACAAUCUCCCUGCAUGUUACUAACAGUACAAUUAGCAAGGUAAUGCUGUUAAAAAGAGAAAAGUGCUUCAGAGGAUUUGUAAGAGCACUGUUCUCGACCAAUUUUUUCCUCUUAAAUACUUCAGGAUAUAAAACACAGGGAAAAAAAUCCUUAUAGAGCAGGUUUUUCAGAAAGAGAAAAUUCUGUCAAAUAACUAUACUUCCCAUAUCAAAAAUACUCAGUUAAAGAGUAUGAAGUACACACCAUAAGGCCAAAAAUUAUACUCAGCAUCCCAGGCAUUAAAAGCCUUUCUACAGGAGAGAGAAGAGAGACUUUUUAACAGACUUUCCUGCGUUUGGGGUUUAUGGUUUCUUUUUUUUUUAAAAGCAAGAGUGUUAUUCACAACCAGGCUAAAUAUUGCCAAUUGCUCUGUGCAAAAGAGACUGUUUUUUAAACACAGUCCUUUGCUUCUCAGCUGGCGACAGCAAAGGGCUGCUGCUCACUGCCCACCAACUAAAGCCCAUGCAAACAAGAGGUGGGCCACCACUGAGCUUCUAAAGCAAACAGCCUGUCUUCUUGGCUGUUCUUGUUUAGUCACCCCGGUACCAGUCAUCCUUCUUGGGCAGGAUAGACUUGCGUCCUGCCAAAGUUUUUAUUUUUAAGAACACUAGCACACUGACAAUAGCACAAAGCACUCCCAUGAGCACAGCCCCAUGAAUUAAGUUGAAUUCACUGCCUGCGGACUAGAAGGGCAACUGUUAAAAAAAAUAAAAAGUCUUUAUAUCCUAGCCCAAAUAUGACUACUUGCUGUAGAUAGUCAUUCCACAUGCUCUUUUUUCUCGGUACAAAAUCCAGCCACUGAUUAACCACAAUGCACUUUCUUCAUAUGCUCUCAAGACACUGCACACCGGUGACCACUAGAUCCUUUCUGCUCCAGUUCUCCUGCCCCCUCCAGCGUACCUGCCUGUUCAUCACUGGGGCCAGAGAAAAGCCUUAAAGGACUUUAGCAAAGCCAGAGCUUCAAUAAACUCUACUGGCUCUUCAAAUCCAGAAGAGGAGCACAUCCUCAUAAAAGUGCCUCAGCAGUUAUCCAAUCCAGCCUCAGUAUAGCUAUGAAACAGGUAUGUUUUCAAGCAACUUUUAUGCAAUACUCACCAUAAGAAAUGAGGAAAAAAAAAAAAAAAAAAAAAGAAACUGACCUACAUGCCAUGCCACCCCUUCUGUUAGUAGUUGUUAGAUAUGCUACAGUUAGUAGCAGUACACACAGUGACACAACACAUAGAUCCCAUGUAAUAAGAAUCACUUUUUCAUUUCAUUUCUCCAGCUCUUCCUCUAGUAACAUGAACAGAAGAGAAAAGCCUCACUCUCCGCUUAGUCAUUACAGCUCUCCUUUGUCUUCUUUCUCUGAAAAAUAGGCCUAAGCUCAACUACUCUAUUUUUUUCUUUAAUCCUUAAUUAUUUUGUCUGAGACUUCAAGAGAGGAUUGAUUUUAAUUUCUCUGUGAAAAUAUUUUCAAUCAUAGAGAAUUUUACAGUAAAAACUGCACCUAAGCUUCAGGGCAUGGUGCACAGCUGCACAAAACCAACUGUUAAAAUUCAGAAGGUGAGAGCUCUUCAUUUACUUCUGUAAGUUCCUAUUCUCCCACGGACCUCAUUGCUGGAGAGAGUCCCAUUAAAAUGCUUCAGACCACGUUGUUAUCAUAUGCUGGUGACAAAGUUGGAAACAGCUGUACCCUUUUUUUUAAUGCAUCUGAUGAAUGCUUCCAUAUCCUUGUUUACAAUUAGUUAUUGUUAUAGAGUUCAACAAACAGAAGCUUUCUCAGAAGAGAAAACAAUGCAACAGCUAUGAGAGCAGUGGAAAACUGUCCACCAAAGAACAUCUCACCAGCCCAUCAUGGCUUACUCUUCACAACCCUAAAUCUAGCAGGAUCAAAAAGAUCUCAUACCUUAGCCAGCUAACCCUGCAAAAAGUAAAAGGGGUACUACAUGAACAGCUUAAGAGUUGCCACAGAGAAGUAACACACUGGGAAAUGCUUCAUGUUAAGACAGCUCUCUGAGACACUUUCAGCUACAGGCAUGCAUUUGCCGCAACAAAGAAAGCACCAGUUCCAGAAAGUUAAGUUUUAGGCCUGAGAAAGGCGGCAGCAUCCUCCAUGCUGUGGGAGGUUCACAAUACAGUAAAGCCAACCCAAGAGAGUUUUGUCCGCAGUGCAGUCCUACAGCCUUCUGCUCGGCCACCACUGUGGGCUAACCAGCACCAGCAUGAGGGUGAAGGAGAUCAAGGGCAGUUGUCUGCAGCACGAAGAGCAGAGAUGGCAAAAACAGGACUACCUUACUGACAGGCUCAGCACCACUAUUUCUCACAUGGGCUUUUUUUUCCCUCUUCCCUUCUCUAGAAGUGUGUUGUUCUAUUAUUUUGGUGGAUUUAACAGCUCUUUCCCCUGAAGAUGCCACCGCUGUGUUGUUUUGAUCAGGACCCUAAAGAGAGAGAACUUGGCAGAUCCAGAGGCAGACACCCAUGCUGUGCUCCUGUCUCGGCGAGGGAGCGGGGCAGAAGCCCAGGCGCUCGGUCCAAGUUCCUAGACUUCUUGUUCCCAUUCAGAAGCACAUUCUUUCACUUCAAGCGAUGCAUCUGAAAAAGCGGGUGGCCAAAAUUCACUAAGCCCUCAAUUCACUGAGCCCUCUGAUGAGUGUUGUGUUGGAAAUGCUUCAAUGUGAGGUAAGGCUGUCUUACUUGACAUAGCAAAUGGGAUUUAAUAACCACUUUACUACUGGUGAUGUUCAAAAUGUACUGAAGUCCCAAUAAAUAUGAAAUAUUUCUGUGCUUUAUCAGGAGUAAAUCAAUACCUAUUGCAGUUGUGGAACUUAACUCAUAACACACAGUUUUUUUUUUCCUGUUUAGGAUAAUUGCAUACUCUCCUCUUAUGUACAGUGUUACAUAAACAUGUCCUAAAACAAUAACCGAAACUUUUUUUAAAUUACAUAUUAAAUGGUUUCUUUCAUCUCUUUAUUCUCAUAAAAGUUUCAGUGUGGAAGCCAAAAUAAAACAGCUGCGUAAAGUGUUUUCAACUGCAAGAGACAUGUAAGAAGGUAUUUCUGCCUGUGCUGGAGGGCAUAAUCUGUAAUAACAUUUUGCCUUCCAGAUAAUGACAGGAGGCAUUAAAAGGACAACUUGCUCUCUAAUAAGCUCGCUUGACUGGUGGAGCACGCACACACAUAGAUGGCAGAGUUUUGCCAACAAUAAUUUUAAUUAAUUUUUACGUUUCAUUCUAAAUUACAUUAAUUUAUGGCCUUCCUAAAAGGCGUUUAGCUGACAGCUAAUUAAAUUCAAGCCAUUAGAUUUUAAUUAGAGAUGUUAAAAAAAAAAAAGUCUCAAAACAAUUCACACAUCUUCGUGAACGCAACAUGCUUGUUAUCAGCAACAGCAAACAAGAGACGAUUAUAAAAUCACAAGACAGCACCGCUGAAACCUGAAAACAAGCAGGCCAUGUGAAGCUUCAUGCUUUGAGGCUGGAGAUUCUGGGCAUGCCCCCUCCUCAGCCCCACUCCAGAAAACCACUCUGCACCCAUGGCUACUCUAAAAUCAAAAUCGGAGUCCAACUAACAAUGAACAUCACGACAUACACUUUAGAAGGCUGAGCUUUGCUUAAUCCUCAUUAAAUUCUAAUGAAAUUGCAGUGCCUUCUUGACCAAACAGUGAAAAAAAUUAAAGGUCCAGCUGGAGCCUCCCUUAAUAAUGCAAGUGGGAUGCUCUGAGCAGCCGAUUGCUGCUCCAGUGCAGGGCACUGGGACAUCCAACCGGACUGUCUUACUCUGCAAGCAACCUCCGUGCAGGAAAAUAAUGCUUUAUGAUUUCAAAAUGAUUGUCACCCCCCAGCCACCCUCCUCCUUACAACAGUUAUUUCUAAAUAUGGACAUGGGGGGGGGGAGGGCAGUACUUCACGAGUGAAAGCCGCAUGGGUGCUCUUUGAUAUGUUGAUCAAUUUCAGUACUGGAUAAAGAGGCUCAUAAAUAUUGAGUGGGUCGUAUUUGCAUGUGUCACCCACGGGCACAAUUUUCCCGAUGAAAAAUGAGAACAGAACCCUGACAAUUUCUCCCUUUUUGAUCGGAAGAUAUAAAAUGACCAUGAAAGUUACUUGAGCAAGGAUAGUGUAUCAGGCCAUGAGCCAGGCUCUAAAAAAAAAAAAAAAAAAAAGCGUACUGUUAAUUAUGGUGCACCAGUUUGGUUUGGACAGGUGCCCAAAAUGCUGGAGUAGACAUUUCGAAAACCUUAAAGGUUAGGAUCACACUCAGCAGCAUUUAAAUGAGUCAACGUUUCCAGAAAAUCGAGAACUAUUCGCUAUUCUUUCACAGAGGCAUUGUAACGAGAAAUCGACCCGGUUUUUAGCAGAACUGAUUUACUCUUCUCCAGGAGACGGACCGAGCCCGCAGGAGGUGCAGCAGGGCCGAGAGAAGGUGCAGGAGGCGAGGGGCAGCAUGCUUCAGAUCUGUGACUAUCAGAGGAGUUACCUGCAGUAACCACGUACCUGGAUACGACCGUUUACAUCCAUUGUGUUAUGGCACAUCACACCACCAGAGUGGAUCAAAGGAUGGAGUCUGCCUGCAUCUUUUACCAACACAGAAGAAGGGGAUGAGCAAACAGUCCUCUGAUUUUUGAGGAGACUGAAAAGAUAACAGUAAAGUGGAAAAGGCAAAAAGCAACAUCAGGCACUAGGAGACCUUAGUGGGCCAAACAAAAGCAUCACUAUUUAGAAUAUAAGCAUUUCAGGUAAACAAAAGAGUAAAUGUUGUGUUGUUAUGACAGGCUUUUGGAAGGGUUUAUAAAUUAUCCUAGCUGGUUCCACAUUAGUAAAAAAGAGUAACUAAUCCUGAGGGCUGCAAAAAAAAAUGUAGACUAAAGCUAAUAAAAUGAAUAAAGUGGCAAGAAAUAUACAAGACUGCAGCAACUGAAAAAAAAAAAAAAGAAAGCCAACAUGGAGGAGAACUUUUUAAUUAUUCCUGAUAAUGGGAGGAAUGGAACAGCCUUUCUUUAACUGAUAUGGAGUCAAUUUAGACAUCUUUUUCUUGUUUUCUAUGUCUUAUGGGUUGAGAUUUGCAAGAAGAACACAGCUGAAAACACGCUGCGUACUUCAGGCAUCAAGUGAAGAGCUACAUUUGGGUCAUCUUUGUAUUCAGUCAAAAUGAUGCCUCAGGGGCUUAUCAAUGUCUCCUAUCCUUGCUCAGAGUCUGCAGAGGACUGGUGGAUAGAUACCAGUUGCUCCCUCUUUUUCUUGCGAAGAAAAUUCACAAAGCAAAAUCAAAAUGCUCCCCUACUGAAGCAGGAGAUCUUUAUGCCCAUUCCUAGUCAGUUAGUUGUCACAUAAAUAAAUGUAGGAUGGUGAAAAUACUUAGUCAAUAACAUGUAUCUCAUAAAUGGAGGAAAAUUACAUGAUGCAUAAAAGGAUUUUCACUAAAAUCUGCCAUUUGUGAUCAGAACUAAGUUCCUCUUAACACAUAAACUUGAAAAAGAACAA